AGAUAACACCCUCCACACACACCAGCAGCAGUAUGUGUGUGUACUGACUUCAGCUUGAAGGAGUUUUCAUUGGCUGAAGUUCUGACCAGCAGCCCACAGCUUGUUGAGUAUGGGAAGAAACUGGGAACUGUUGCUUAGCAGCAGAAAUGGAAGGUGGGACGUCCACAGAGCCCCCAGGCUCCUGUGUUUGUUUUGCGUUCAGCUCAAGCAGUAGGACAGGAUUCCCUCAGCUCCAGGCGAGAGACAGCCUUCAGCUACAGGAUUGAGAACAAGCACCGGAUCCACAGGAGGUGUCUGAGCCACCUCAGCCAGGAGACACAUGCAGCAAACACACCAGUGGCUACUCCAAGAGCCCAGCCAUACAUGCGGGUCAGAGACCGCAUCAGGACCAGUCACCGUGCCAGCAGAGCGCCCGCCCUCCACAGCAGCUCCCUCUGACAUCGUCGCCCUGGCAACAAGAGCAGCAUCACCGACAGGAGUCUACGAAGGUGGCGCGAAGUCAUAAUUCCGAAACUCCGCAGGAGCGUUUUCGUCAUCCAGUGAAGGCCGAGAACACAUUGAGAAAAGUACACGAUGUGCGGGAACAUCGUCACAGCAGAGACACACGUGUCCUCUAUCAAUUCUUCACCCAACUUCAUCUAACUCUGGUGUGUAGGCUGGUCUGCUCACUGAAAAGGUCUACAUUCUAAACCUCUGAGAACAAUCAUUUUAAACCACAGGGACAAUCUAAAUAUGCCUUCUGUUAAUUUUAGGAAGAAAAAACAUUUAAGAAUCAACUGUAUUCUGGUGAAUCUCUAACACUCACACAAACCCCAGAGAUGCAGAGCUCCAAGCUGCAGAGCUGCCGACUAACAUAUUCUCUUGGCUCCGCACUUUUAUGCUCAAAUAAAAAGUGAACUUCCUUCCUGAA